UACGUAGGGUGCAAGCGUUAUCCGGAUUCACUGGGUUUAAAGGGAGCGUAGGUGGGUUGGUAAGUCAGUGGUGAAAUCCCCGAGCUUAACUUGGGAACUGCCAUUGAUACUAUCAGUCUUGAAUACUGUGGAGGUUAGCGGAAUAUGUCAUGUAGCGGUGAAAUGCUUAGAUAUGACAUAGAACACCAAUUGCGAAGGCAGCUGGCUACACAAUUAUUGACACUGAGGCUCGAAAGCGUGGGGAUCAAAC
rnacentral:rRNA from 1 species